UUGGAGGGCAAGUCUGGUGCCAGCAGCCGCGGUAAUUCCAGCUCCAAUAGCGUAUAUUAAAGUUGCUGCAGUUAAAAAGCUCGUAGUUGAAUUUCGGGACCAUCAUGUCGGUCGUGCCUCGGUACGUACUGGUAUUGUUGGUUUCUCCCUUCUGACGAACCAUGAUGUCAUUUAUUUGGUGUUGUGGGGAAUCAGGACUGUUACUUUGAAAAAAUUAGAGUGUUUAAAGCAGGCUCACGCUUGAAUACAUUAGCAUGGAAUAAUGAAAUAGGACGUUUGAUUCUAUUUUGUUGGUUUCUAGGAUCGACGUAAUGAUUAAUAGGGAUAGUUGGGGGCAUUAGUAUUCAAUUGUCAGAGGUGAAAUUCUUGGAUUUAUUGAAGACUAACUACUGCGAAAGCAUUUGCCAAGGAUGUUUUCAUUAAUCAAGAACGAAAGUUAGGGGAUCGAAGACGAUCAGAUACCGUCGUAGUCUUAACCAUAAACUAUGCCGACUAGGGAUCGGAUGAUGUUAAUUUUUUAAUGACUCAUUCGGCGCCUUACGGG
rnacentral:rRNA from 1 species